CGAGGGGGAGGCUGUGAGCCCGGCGCGACCUAGCAGCCCUCCCGUGGGUGCCGGGGCCGACGGAGAUCCUAUGGGAAGGCCCCACACCCCGGCCCUGGCUCCUUGGGCUUCAGCACAAGCCGCUACGCAUGAGUGCCUUCCUCAUGUCCAUGGCCAGUGCAGUUUUUUCCUUCGUGCUGUGGGGCAGGAUUAUUGCACCAACGAGAACGGCUCACCACUCCCAGCCCACAAGAGACAAGACAAGGAGUCCAAGGUGUCCAUGGGGACCACAUUCCAUCAACUGAGAUGCAGAGACCAGUAUUAUUACAUGGACAUGAACAAUUUUAGUCAUAUUUAAAUAUGAAUGUCAAAAAUUUAGGGAAGAGAACUUCAAAUAAACUUGUGAAAAUCUGUUCAUGCA